ACAGAGGGUGCGAGCGUUGUUCGGAAUUAUUGGGCGUAAAGCGCGUGUAGGCGGCGAUGCAAGUCGGGUGUGAAAGCCCUCAGCUUAACUGAGGAAGUGCGCCCGAAACUGCAUUGCUUGAGUACCGGAGAGGAUGGCGGAAUUCCCCAAGUAGAGGUGAAAUUCGUAGAUAUGGGGAGGAACACCGGUGGCGAAGGCGGCCAUCUGGACGGAUACUGACGCUGAGACGCGAAAGCAUGGGGAGCAAACAGGA
rnacentral:rRNA from 1 species